rnacentral:lncRNA from 1 species
GCCCCCCCACUUGACUCUCUUAUAAGUGUAUUAAAGAUUUGCCCCAUGUAUCUCUUCAGUCCUACAAAUUUGCCCAUUUUAGCUAUGUGGCAGUCCUACUCAUCAUGCCAGCUUAGAUUGGCUACGGAAAAAGACCGCAUUGCCCCUCUCUCAUAAUUCAUGCAUCCAGGAGUAAAAAAUUCUAAAAAAAAGAAAGUUAUAACACCAAUACCAGAGAAUAUGCGAAAUGGGGCGAAGAGAAGUUCUACGGUUCUACCACAAAUAGACAACAGGAACAGCUUCCCAGCUCCCAGUGCUCAGCUCAAAUGUCGUACAGCCAAAAAAAGAAAAUAAAAUCCCGUCUUCACCACGAACUAGCAAGAUUACGAUACACCAAAUAUUGGACUGAAUCGAGCAGAAAAAACCACAAACUAUGUGGAAUUGAAGCUGUGUGGCGUGUUCUUCUCAAACCAACGCACAAUUUUUCGCCAUAAAAGGCAAAUUUAUAGAACGAAGAAGAAAGGUGCGUUUUGGCACACUUCGUGUGGCGUUUCGAUCAAGCGCUCAGCGGGGAACUACUCACCGGAAGGCCGAAACACAAACGGGAUGACUGACUCUUGAACACCUGUGCCUCGAGCACCUGCUGCACCCCUAGUUCCACAAUCGCUUCGCAAAACCAGGC